GAUGAACGCUGGCGGCGUGCUUAACACAUGCAAGUCGAACGGAAAGGCCACAGCUUGCUGUGGUACUCGAGUGGCGAACGGGUGAGUAACACGUGGGUGAUCUGCCCUGUACUUCGGGAUAAGCUUGGGAAACUGGGUCUAAUACCGGAUAGGAAUCACAUGUGGGGGUGUGGUUGGAAAGCUUUUGCGGUAUGGGAUGAGCUCGCGGCCUAUCAGCUUGUUGGUGGGGUAAUGGCCUACCAAGGCGUCGACGGGUAGCCGGCCUGAGAGGGUGUACGGCCACAUUGGGACUGAGAUGCGGCCCAGCCUCCUACGGGAGGCAGCAGUGGGGAAUAUUGCACAAUGGGCGCAAGCCUGAUGCAGCGACGCCGCGUGGGGGAUGACGGCCUUCGGGUUGUAAACUCCUUUCGUCAGGGACGAAGCGAAAGUGACGGUACCUGGAUAAGAAGCACCGGCUAACUACGUG
rnacentral:rRNA from 1 species